AUACAAGUAAUGGUCAGCGGCGCAAGGGUGCGUAACACGUGGGCAACCUGCCCGGAAAUGGGGGAUAGCUCGUCGAAAGGCGAAUUAAUACCGCAUGAGGGUAGAGGUGGAAUCACCUUGAGGCCAAAGUUGGGGCAACCUGACGCUUCGGGAUGGGCCCGCGGCCUAUCAGCUAGUUGGUGAGGUAACGGCUCACCAAGGCUAUGACGGGUAGCUGGUCUGAGAGGACGACCAGCCACACUGGAACUGAGACACGGUCCAGACACCUACGGGUGGCAGCAGUCGAGAAUUUUUCUCAAUGGGGGAAACCCUGAAGGAGCGACGCCGCGUGGAGGAUGAAGGUCUUCGGAUUGUAAACUUCUGUCAUUGGUGAACAAAGCCCUCGGAGUAACUGCCGUUGGGUUUGAUAGUAGCCGAAGAGGAAGAGACGGCUAACUCUGUGCCAGCAGCCGCGGUAAUACAGAGGUCUCAAGCGUUGCUCGGAUUCAUUGGGCGUAAAGGGUGCGUAGGUGGCGAGGCAAGUCUGGUGUGAAAUCCCGGGGCUCAACCCCGGAACUGCACUGGAUACUGCUUUACUAGAGUACUGGAGAGGGAACUGGAAUUUACGGUGUAGCAGUGAAAUGCGUAGAUAUCGUAAGGAAGACCAGUGGCGAAGGCGAGUUCCUGGACAGUUACUGACGCUGAGGCACGAAGGCCAGGGGAGCAAACGGGAUUAGAUACCCCGGUUAUCCUGGAAAAAACGGUGCCCGUUUGGGGGGUGGAAGAAUCGACCCCUUCCGUGCCGGAGCUAACGCGUUAAACGCGCCGCCUGGGGAGUACGGUCGCAAGAUUAAAACUCAAAGAAAUUGACGGGGGCCCGCACAA
rnacentral:rRNA from 1 species